rnacentral:tRNA from 1 species
CGGCGCCGGGGCGGCCGGGGUGCGCGGCCGGCUCUUCGACGCCCGGGGCGCGCAGGUGGCGACGUUCGACGCGCCGGUGCGGA